AUUGAACGCUGGCGGCAUGCCUUACACAAGCAAGUCGAACGGUAACAGGUUAAGCUGACGAGUGGCGAACGGGUGAGUAAUACAUCGGAACGUGCCCAGACGUGGGGGAUAGCUCGGCGAAAGCCGGAUUAAUACCGCAUAAGCUCUGAGGAGGAAAGCGGGGGACCGUAAGGCCUCGCGCGUUUGGAGCGGCCGAAGGCAGAUUAGGUAGUUGGUGGGGUAAAGGCUUACCAAGCCUACGAUCUGUAGCUGGUCUGAGAGGACGACCAGCCACACUGGGACUGAGACACGGCCCAGACUCCUACGGGAGGCAGCAGUGGGGAAUUUUGGACAAUGGGCGAAAGCCUGAUCCAGCAAUGCCGCGUGCAGGAUGAAGGCCUUCGGGUUGUAAACUGCUUUUGUACGGAACGAAAAGGCGCCUACUAAUACUGGGUGCUAAUGACGGUACCGUAAGAAUAAGCACCGGCUAACUACGUGCCAGCCGCCGCCGUAACAC
rnacentral:rRNA from 1 species